rnacentral:rRNA from 1 species
AACGUAGGAGGCAAGCGUUAUCCGGAUUUACUGGGCGUAAAGGGCGUGCAGGUGGCUUGCUAAGUGGUGCGUGAAAGCGCUCGGCUCAACCGGGCGAGGCCGUGCCAAACUGGCAGACUAGAAACAGGCAGAGGAAAGUGGAAUUCGGGGUGUAGUGGUGAAAUGCGUAGAUAUCGGGAGGAACACCAGUGGCGAAGGCGACUACCUGGCCUGUUCUUGACGCUGAGGCGCGAAAGCUAGGGGAGCAAACGGG